rnacentral:rRNA from 1 species
AGACAACUAGGAGGUUGGCUCAGAAGCAGCCACCCUUUAAAGAGUGCGUAAUAGCUCACUAGUCGAGUGCUCUUGCGCGGAUAAUGUACCGGGGCUAAGCAUAUUACCGAAACUGUGGAUGCGUAAGCAUGGUAGGAUAGCGUAAUUAACGCGAUGAAGGAUGACCGUAAGGACAUGUUGGAGCGUUAACUAGUGAGAAUUCCGGUAUGAGUAGCGAAAGAUAGGUGAGAAUCCUAUCCACCGAAUGAGUAAGGUUUCCCCCGGAAGGCUCGUCCGCGGGGGGUUAGUCGGGACCUAAGGCGAGGCUGAAAAGCGUAGUCGAUGGACAACAGGUUGAUAUUCCUGUACCGAUAUUUAAUUGCCGAAGGAAGGACGCAGAAGGAUAACACAGGCCACUAUUGGAUGUGGUUUUAAACAGUUAGUCUUCAUAAGAGUCAAAUGCUUUUAUGUUUAAGGAUAAGCUGUGAAUGUACCAAGUUUACUUGGAAAUUGUGUGAUUUCACGCUGCUGAAAAAAGUUUCGUAGGAAGAAAAUAUUGCCCGUACCGCAAACCGACACAGGUACUCAAGUGGAGAACACUAAGGUGAGCGAGUGAACUAUUGUUAAGGAACUCUGCAAAAUGAGUCCGUAACUUCGGAAGAAGGACUGCUGGUUUUAUACCAGCCGCAGCAAAUAGGCCCAAACAACUGUUUAUCAAAAACACAGGUUUCUGCAAAAUCGUAAGAUGAAGUAUAGGGGCUGACGCCUGCCCAGUGCUGGAAGGUUAAAAGGAGGACUUAGCUUCGGCGAAGGUCUUAAUUGAAGCCCCAGUGAACGGCGGCCGUAACUAUAACGGUCCUAAGGUAGCGAAAUUCCUUGUCGGGUAAGUUCCGACCCGCAUGAAAGGCGUAAUGAUUUGGGCGCUGUCUCAACAAUAGACUCGGUGAAAUUUAAAUUCCAGUGAAGAUGCUGGGUACCCGCGACAGGACGGAAAGACCCCGUGGAGCUUUACUGUAGCUUGAUAUUGAAUGUUUGUGCUGCAUGUGCAGGAUAGGUAGGAGACUUUGAAGUCGGAACGCUAGUUUCGAUUGAGUCACCCUUGAGAUACUACCUCUGUUGUAUGAACGU